GACGCUCGACACCUACGGAAGGCAGCAGUGGGGAAUAUUGCACAAUGGGGGAAACCCUGAUGCAGCGACGCCGCGUGAGCGAAGAAGUAUUUCGGUAUGUAAAGCUCUAUCAGCAGGGAAGAAACUGACGGUACCUGACUAAGAAGCACCGGCUAAAUACGUGCCAGCAGCCGCGGUAAUCUGAGCGGGCUGGCAAGGC
rnacentral:rRNA from 1 species